rnacentral:lncRNA from 1 species
UGUUCGGACCUGCUGGUCCUUCCCUACGGAAUGGUGUUCUUAUACCCGGUACUCGAAGAGUAAAUAGGGGAAUAACGGAUGUACAGUUUAGUUAAAUGAAAUAGUAGUGCCGCGCCUCACAAUUUUCACCACUAUUUUUGAGACCCUUCCAGUCUUUCGAAUUGAACAAGUUAUACCUUUUUGGAUAGCCAGAAAUGUACACAUUAGAACCCAGAAUCCUGGACUGCUUGCAUUCCAUCUUCUUGU